UAGUCCACGCCGUAAACGAUGGGUACUAGGUGUUGGAGGUUUUGACCCCUUCAGUGCCGCAGCUAACGCAUUAAGUACCCCGCCUGGGGAGUACGGUCGCAAGACUGAAACUCAAAGGAAUUGACGGGGGCCCGCACAAGCGGUGGAGCAUGUGGUUUAAUUCGAUGCAACGCGAAGAACCUUACCUGGGCUUGAACUGCAGUGGACAGUCCGUGAAAGCGGAUCUUCCUUCGGGACUGCUGUAGAGGUGCUGCAUGGCUGUCGUCAGCUCGUGUCGUGAGAUGUUGGGUUAAGUCCCGCAACGAGCGCAACCCUUAUCCUUAGUUGCCAUCAAGUAAUGUUGGGCACUCUAGGGAGACUGCCGAGGAUAACUCGGAGGAAGGUGGGGAUGACGUCAAGUCCUCAUGGCCCUUACGUCCAGGGCUACACACGUGCUACAAUGGCCGGUACAAAAGGUUGACAAUACCGCAAGGUGGAGCUAAUCCCCAAAACCGGCCUCAGUUCGGA
rnacentral:rRNA from 1 species